CAACGACACUCCACUGUUUCAUCUCUGUGGUCCAGCAAACACAGGGCUCAAGUCUGGGGGACAUUGACGAUCGACUCACCAUGAGAGGCUUGUAUCUGCUGUGUCUGGGUCUGUUAGCCCCAGUGAUCGAAAUGACCUCGAUGAAAGAUUGCGGAC